UACAGAGGGUGCAAGCGUUGUUCGGAAUUAUUGGGCGUAAAGCGCGUGUAGGCGGCUUUGCAAGUCGGGUGUGAAAGCCCACGGCUCAACCGUGGAAGUGCAUCCGAAACUGCAUGGCUUGAGUCUCGGAGAGGAAGGUGGAAUGCUUGGUGUAGAGGUGAAAUUCGUAGAUAUCAAGCAGAACACCUGCGGCGAAGGCGGCCUUCUGGACGAUGACUGACGCUGAGACGCGAAGCGUGGGGAGCAAACAGG
rnacentral:rRNA from 1 species